UACGGAGGGGGCUAGCGUUGUUCGGAAUUACUGGGCGUAAAGCGCACGUAGGCGGCUUUGCAAGUUAGAGGUGAAAGCCCGGGGCUUAACCCCGGAAUUGCCUUUAAAACUGCAUCGCUAGAAUUGUGGAGAGGUGAGUGGAAUUCCGAGUGUAGAGGUGAAAUUCGUAGAUAUUCGCAAGAACACCAGUGGCGAAGGCGGCUCACUGGUCCGGUUCUGACGCUGAGGCGCGAAAGCGUGGGGAGCAAACAGG
rnacentral:rRNA from 1 species